CCCAUAUGGCAUCUAAUUCACAAUACCAAGGGCCUCUACGUCAAUACAAAGAGAGUUCUGACGGUGAUGUUGGAGUCCUGUUGGUGUUGAAGUUGGAGUUGGUGUUGAAGUCCUAGGGAUGACGGGGGAGGUGACGGAGAUGAUGCAUGGAUAUUCUGAGCCACAAGGCCAAGGAGAUGAAAUAUGGGGAAAGUCGGACGUUGAAGUCGAUCCUACUUUCUUUCGAGAAGACGUUGAAGGUGCCGUUGAACAAGUGUGGAGACUCGCCCAAACGUUGGGAUGUAGAUGUAACAGUUUCGUCGAUAGUUCAAACCGAUGGCUUGGAGAUGUGGCUCCUCAAGUCAGAAGCACACAACUCUUUGAAAUUAUUGAAGGAAGUUCAAGGUACGGACAGCGAAGAGCCAUUAGUGUUGUCUAUCACCCAGAAUCCUCCGACCAAGAAGAAGGACAUCUCCAUGUCUACCAUUCCUGUGCGUUUAGAAACUCCACCUGCAAGUGCGGCUUUAUCAGACUUUUCCCAGGAUUCAAACAGCGAACUCGACCAAGAACUAUUUUCGUUAAUACCAUCUACAAAGCCCUCUACUGGUAUCACUUCAUACAAUAUUACUGCACUGGACCGAGACGUUUAUUACUCUUGGAUAUCCACCAAAGAGAGUACCGAUAUAUCAGAGACAUCGUAAAGAUGAAGUCCAUAGAAAACUGGAAGUGUGCGAGCUUUCGAGCGAAGACGAGUCUAUUUCACAAGACCGAAGGAAAGAAGUUUCAGAAAGCGAGAAGUCUGAUGAAAGAGCUACAGACAGAACUUCUAAAACUCGCCAACAACGAAAAAGAAGUGCGCAAGUCGAGCUAUCUCAAAUUCGACACAAAAAGAGCUGGAUUCUACAUAGAGACCUAGUGGAGUUUCUGAACGCACAGGAAUAGUAGACAUGGAGAUGUCCUUCUUCUUGGUCGGAGGACUCUGGGUGACAGACAACACGCUCUUCGCUGUCCGUACGUUGAACUCCAUUCUCUGACACCUUCAAUAAUUUCAAAAAGUUCUGUGCUUCUGACUUGAGGAACCACAUCUCCAAGCCAUCGGUUUGAACUGUCGACGAAUCUGUUACAUCUACGUCCCAACGUCCAUACUUGUUCAACAGCACCUUCAACGUCUUCUCGAAAGAAAGUAGGACCGACUUCAACAUCAGAUUUUCCCCAUAUUUGAUCGCCUUGGCCUUGUGGCUCAGAAUAUUCAUCAUCUCCGGCUUAACAACGACGCUUUAGCUUACUUUGACAAAAGUGAUAAUGACUGUAAGCGCGCUGUAAAUGAAGUACACAGAAAAUCCCAGCACCUAUCCAUUCAGAAAUCAAGCAAUGGAUUUUAGAGUGCCGUAACGAAUGCUAGAGAGCCUAAUCAUUACAUGGAUCUUAACGAUUCAAUUAAUGUACUCGAAUAACUUUUGCUGCAUGAGUACCACGAGAAUGACAGAGUUCGAGAAUUUAUUAUGCGACUGUACAAUAUCUUAGAGAAGAAGGAACCCAAGAGAAAUACUAUGUACGUCACAGGGGAGCCUAACUCAGGAAAAAACUAUUUUCUUUGAUUGUGUAGCGGGACUCAUGCUUAAAGUCGGACACGUAGCUAAUAUGGUGCGCGGAGAGCAUUUCCCAUUGAACGAUUGUAUUGCUAGACGCAUACUAAUCUGGAGCGAACCAAGUAUCAUGCCCUCCGCGUACGAUACCGUUAAAAUGUUGUCGGGAGGAGACACUUGCCCAGCUAACGUUAAGUACCAAGGCCAUUCUGUCAUUUCACGUACGCCUUUAAUCUUUACGGGUAACGUUUUCAUUUUCCCUAAUACUGCUGUUUGGCUUAGUCGGAUGUAUAAGGAACAAUGGCGUAGUGCACCAUUCCUUAAAUAUACCAAGGGAUAUACAACACCGAAAGCUCUUCUUGCUAUUUUUGAGAAGUACGAUCUUCUUUAAUAAACUUUGUGUGUGUUCAAUAAAGAAUAAACACUCAUAGGUGGGGUAUGAAUGUAUUUAUUCGAAACCAUAUAUAUACAAGGACAAAAAGGUGAGCAUGUCUUUCUUAUGCAGUAGUAAUCCUCGGUUUAUCUAACCAAUUUGCUUUUUUAGUAAUGCAGGCAUUGAACUGGGACUUGUCAUUGUUUUUCUUCUUCCAGCCCAAUAUAACAAUGAUUCAAAUCACUAUUCAAAUCUGUCGCACCGAGACUAACAGAAGCAUAUUGUGGAUCCCAGCCUUGAAUGAUAGGCAUAUUUACAUUUGGGUGAACACUAUUAAUAUUAUGUUCUGUUUCUAAGAAAGUUUCUAUUUGCCACUGAACUACUACAUUAGCAAAUGUAGCUUUAGGAGCAAGAGCUGCAUUACUUUGCACAGGUAAUACACCAAAAGUACAAGUCGGAGGUGCAUCUGGAUUAUUUGACACUCCAACAUUUCUUUGCAUAUAAGCAUUCUUUUCUAUUAUAUUAUUAUAUUGAACGUGAUCACUAUAGUAUGGCUUACUCGCACUAGCUGAUAUUUUAGUACUGAUUGACAUUGGAGAAGUUGUUCCUGCAUCAUUAGUAUAAUUGGAAGCGACUUCAGUACAAAGAGCAUUAGUAAAACCUUCCAGUAUAGGUUGACUAGUUUGUGAUCUCUGGGAUAGAUACGGAACUUUUAAAAUUCCACACUUACGGUAUAAUUCCUUUGCAAUCAUUCACAUUACGAACUUAAUAAUGUCGUAGUAAAUUAGGAGUACCCUUGAUAGUUUUAUACCUAGGAAUAAUUGUAUAUCUAUUCCAGUGCCUAGGUACCAACCAGGUAGUACCAAUACUACAGCCAAUCGAAUUAUCGUUUCCGUAUAAUAUAUCGGCCGGUGGAACUCCUGUAGUAAGUGAUGUAACAGACGUUAAAUCUGCUGUAUCUACUGUGACGCUACUAGAAAUAUAAUUCAUGAUUUUAUUUGAAUACUACACCAUAUCCUAUUUGCACUAAAGUUUGACUGUUAGCAAACGAUGACACUGCUUCAUUCGUCGCAAAUGGUAAUCUAUAUCCGAGAGGUGUUAUUUUUAUUGUACAUCGCUUUGCCCGAGUAUUUAUGGGGAGAUUAGAAAAUUCUGUUGGUGACAUAAAUAAUUGUAAAUUAUUUGCACUUAUAUCGGCAAGAGGAGUAGUAAGCAUUUCGAACUUUGAGGUACUCCAAUAAGCGUCCCAAUUGUCGAAACUUUUAAGUCCAAAUUGUAAUCCAGCAGCGUACACUUGAAAUGUUUUUCUAUAUACUCCAUGUGCCUCUGAAACACCCGGAUCACGAAUAAUUGUAGCCAUAACAUCAGCUCCAGUUCCUCCUGGCAAGGAAGAUCCAGCUUGUGGUCGUUGAACUUGGACUGCUACAAUGUUUUCUUCUUGAGAAGUAUUACCUCCUUCUUGUAUGCCACUGUCUCCGCUUUCGUCCAAACGAGGUCUUUUUCCUGGUGGACCCAUCUUGGGCUGGAAUAGACUACUGGACAAUGUCGUGUCGGCUAAAACCUUCGAUGUAUUUGUUGCAAGGGAUCAGGACCACCUAGCAUCAUUAUAAAAUCAUUAUGUCAUUGUAUAUAUAAUUAUUAUCUUGCUUGCUACACGUGUGCAUUUUACCCUUCAUCAUCACUGUAUAUAUAAUUACUGCAUUCUCAUCAUUUGCCAUUUGUAUCUACUGCGUCCCCUGCUAUGUUCCAAUAAUUAUCUGCAUUGUUUCAUGUUUGUACUUUUUAUUUUCUUGUUAUCGAUUUACCAUCACUCCUACUUGGGCACUCAGAAGGAAGCCAAGUAGUAUCAAUAAAUAAUAAUGAAUAAUAAUUGUUGGUACUUUUCAAUCCGUUGCCCUGGUGCAAAGAUAGGGCAUUUGACGAUUGAGUACAAGUGGUCCGUGUUCAGUAUUGAACUAAACAACUUUAUUUCAGGAUGAUGGGGAGUUUCAUCGCUGGGGGCGAUACUCUACCCCAUUGCUGAAGGUGAAGCAGGUGAAGCAGUAUUGAUUUUUCUUCAUUUCUCCUACAAUCCGAAGUAGUCGCAGAGAAUGAAGCAGACGAACCCAUCCUUUUCUGGAAGUAUUCUUACUCCAUAUCCUUACUUACAUAUUCGUGAACCGCCAACUAAUGAUUCAAGUGCUGUGUCAAUAUGGUCAAACUACGUUGGAGAAUAAAAUAUAAUAAAAUUGUC